UACGGGGGGUGCAAGCGUUGUUCGGAAUUAUUGGGCGUAAGGCGCACGUAGGCGGAUCUGUAAGUCAAUUGUGAAAGCCCUGGGCUUAACCUGGGAAUUGCAGUUGAAACUGCAGACCUUGAAUGCUUGAGAGGAUGACGGAAUUCCUGGUGUAGAAGUGAAAUUCGUAGAUAUCAGGAGGAACACCCGAGGCGAAGGCGGUUAUCUGGCAAUGCAUUGACGCUGAGGUGCGAAAGCGUGGGUAGCAAACAGG
rnacentral:rRNA from 1 species